rnacentral:rRNA from 1 species
UACGUAGGGGGCAAGCGUUAUCCGGAUUUACUGGGUGUAAAGGGUGCGUAGGCGGCUUUGUAAGUCAGUGGUGAAAUACUCCAGCUUAACUGGAGGGGUGCCAUUGAUACUGCGGAGCUUGAGUACAGAUGAGGUAGGCGGAAUUGACGGUGUAGCGGUGAAAUGCAUAGAUAUCGUCAAGAACACCGAUAGCGAAGGCAGCUUACUGGGCUGUAACUGACGCUGAUGCACGAAAGUGUGGGGAUCAAACAGG